ensembl:snoRNA
CCUCUCUCACUCUGCAUAGUUACACUUGGUUUCACCUGUGUAACUUUCGUACCGGGAGAGAGAGGAAAGAGCUCUUCAGGACCUUGGAUUGGCCUCAUAGUGGCCUCUCUUGCCUAGAAGAACUCCACAGUU